ensembl:lncRNA
UCACAAGGCAGCCUCAAAAUUGCUCUUGAGCGCUAAACUUCAAGAACAGCAUUUCCAAAUUACUUUUACUUUGGUGCUUCCUGUAAGAAUUAUGGGAUGUCUCAAAGAGAAGUGUGCCACAGACUUAAGACUCGGUUACCUCUCCCCCAACAGCUGGCAGCACCCACACCUCACUGGGCUGCUGGAGCACAUUCAGGACAUUCAGAUGGAGGACCUCCCCAAGUGUCAGCUGAGGUUCACCUUUUGCUGAAUUGCUUUCAACAUUUUCCUUUGGGAAAAAAAAGAGGAUGCAGGAUCCCCUGUCCUGUUCUCAUAUUGCCC